rnacentral:rRNA from 1 species
GUUAGUGGCGAACGGGUGAGUAAUAUAUUCGGAACAUAUCCGGAAGUGGGGGAUAACGUAGCGAAAGUUACGCUAAUACCGCAUAUGCCCUGAGGGGGAAAGGAGGGGAUCGCAAGACCUUUCGCUUUCGGAGUGGCCGAUAUCGGAUUAGCUAGUAGGUGAGGUAAAGGCUCACCUAGGCGACGAUCCGUAGCGGGUCUGAGAGGACGACCCGCCACACUGGAACUGAGACACGGUCCAGACUCCUACGGGAGGCAGCAGUGGGGAAUUUUGGACAAUGGGCGCAAGCCUGAUCCAGCCAUACCGCGUGAGUGAAGAAGGCCUUCGGGUUGUAAAGCUCUUUCAGCCGGAAAGAAAUCGCACUUAUUAAUACUAAGUGUGGAUGACGGUACCGGAAGAAGAAGCACCGGCUAACUACGUGCCAGCAGCCGCGGUAAUACGUAGGGUGCGAGCGUUAAUCGGAAUUACUGGGCGUAAAGCGUGCGCAGGCCGUUUCGUAAGACAGAUGUGAAAUCCCCGGGCUCAACCUGGGAACUGCAUUUGUGACUGCGAGACUAGAGUGUAGCAGAGGGGGGUAGAAUUCCACGUGUAGCAGUGAAAUGCGUAGAGAUGUGGAGGAAUACCAAUGGCGAAGGCAGCCCCCUGGGUUAACACUGACGCUCAUGCACGAAAGCGUGGGGAGCAAACAGGAUUAGAUACCCUGGUAGUCCACGCCCUAAACGAUGUCAACUAGGUGUUGGGGAAGGAGACUUCUUUAGUACCGCAGCUAACGCGUGAAGUUGACCGCCUGGGGAGUACGGUCGCAAGAUUAAAACUCAAAGGAAUUGACGGGGACCCGCACAAGCGGUGGAUUAUGUGGAUUAAUUCGAUGCAACGCGAAAAACCUUACCUACCCUUGACAUGUCAGAAAGAUUGCAGAGAUGUGAUUGUGCCCGAAAGGGAAUCUGAACACAGGUGCUGCAUGGCUGUCGUCAGCUCGUGUCGUGAGAUGUUGGGUUAAGUCCCGCAACGAGCGCAACCCUUAUCAUUAAUUGCCAUCAUUUAGUUGGGCACUUUAAUGAGACUGCCGGUGAUAAACCGGAGGAAGGUGGGGAUGACGUCAAGUCCUCAUGGCCCU